AUAUGUACAUAUUUUAUGUUAUUUCAAAUAAAAAAUAUUUUUUAUUUUACUUAUAAAUCCAUUUUUAAAACAAUAUUUCAAUUAUUUAUCCAUUUACAAUAAAUUUGAUUGUAAUACAUAAUAACUUAUUUAUCCUGCACCUUGACCUGAUGUUAAAUAUUUAAUUUUAAGAAAAUUAUAAAUGAUUUUUAUAAAAAUCUGACAACGGAGAUAUACAUAAAUAAAAUAAGUAAGAUUUUCGUGUACUUUCGAUUAAAUUACAUAUUCCUUUAGAACAUUAAAUACUGUCAAAACUUUUAAGUUUCAGCUUUACUACUUUAGAAGCUAUAAUUUUCAAGAAUAGUAGGGUAUCUAAUCCUAGUUUUUUUCUUGAUAAUAUGAAAAUUUUUUAAAAAUUAUAUUACAAUUUAAAGAUUUCACUCCUUCAUAUGCAUAUAAAUUUUUAAUAUAAAUAUACAUUCUCUAAACAAAUUAUUUAUAAAUAACGUAUAACCGC
rnacentral:rRNA from 1 species